UACGGGAGGCAGCAGUGGGGAAUAUUGCACAAUGGGCGAAAGCCUGAUGCAGCUAUGCCGCGUGUAUGAAGAAGGCCUUAGGGUUGUAAAGUACUUUCAUCGGGGAGGAAAAAACAAAACUAAUAAUUUUAUUUCUUGACGUUACCCGAAAAAGAAGCACCGGCUAACUCCGUGCCAGCAGCCGCGGUAAUACGGAGGGUGCUAGCGUUAAUCAGAAUUACUGGGCGUAAAGAGCACGUAGGUGGUUUUUUUAAGUCAGAUGUGAAAUCCCUGGGCUUAACCUAGGAACUGCAUUUUGAAACUGAAAUACUAGAGUAUCGUAGAGGGAGGUAGAAUUCUAGGUGUAGCGGUGAAAUGCGUAGAUAUCUGGAGGAAUACCUGUGGCGAAAGCGGCCUCCUAAACGAAUACUGACACUGAGGGUGCGAAAGCGUGGGGAGCAAACAGGGAUUUAGAUACCCGU
rnacentral:rRNA from 1 species